AUUUUCCACAAUGGACGAAAGUCUGAUGGAGCAACGCCGCGUGCAGGAUGAAUGCCUUCGGGUUGUAAAGCUCUUUUACCCGGGAUGAUAAUGACAGUACCGGGAGAAUAAGCUCCGGCUAACUCCGUGCCAGCAGCCGCGGUAAUACGGAGGGAGCUAGCGUUGUUCGGAAUUACUGGGCGUAAAGCGCACGUAGGCGGCUUUGUAAGUUAGAGGUGAAAGCCCGGGGCUCAACCCCGGAAUUGCCUUUAAGACUGCAUCGCUUGAAUCCAGGAGAGGUGAGUGGAAUUCCGAGUGUAGAGGUGAAAUUCGUAGAUAUUCGGAAGAACACCAGUGGCGAAGGCGGCUCACUGGACUGGUAUUGACGCUGAGGUGCGAAAGCGUGGGGAGCAAACAGG
rnacentral:rRNA from 1 species